AGAGCAUUGGAACCACCUGACUCCAUCCCGAACUCAGAAGUGAAACGAUGCAUCGCCGAUGGUAGUGUGGGGUUUCCCCAUGUGAGAGUAGGUCAUCG
rnacentral:rRNA from 1 species